GCAGUUAGAAGCUACUUGAAGGAGCAUCACGAGACCUCGCCGAUGUUGAGUGGCAUGAUUACGUGCACAAAAGACCACACAAUUAAAGAAUUGAUUCUAAAACUUGAUUCUGAAAAAAUUCAUCGAAUAUACGUUGUGGAUGAUGCUGGUAAUCUGGAAGGAGUGAUUACACUGAGAGACGUCAUCUCAAGGCUUGUACAUGAGCCUCCU
rnacentral:misc_RNA from 1 species